rnacentral:rRNA from 1 species
AGCGUUGUUCGGAAUUACUGGGCGUAAAGGGCUCGUAGGCGGCCAACUAAGUCCGACGUGAAAUCCCCAGGCUUAACCUGGGAACUGCGUCGGAUACUGGAUGGCUUGAAUCCGGGAGAGGGAUGCGGAAUUCCAGGUGUAGCGGUGAAAUGCGUAGAUAUCUGGAGGAACACCGGUGGCGAAGGCGGCAUCCUGGACCGGCAUUGACGCUGAGGAGCGAAAGCCAGGGGAGCAAACGGG